GAUGAACGCUGGCGGCGUGCCUAAUACAUGCAAGUCGAGCGAACAGACGAGGAGCUUGCUCCUCUGACGUUAGCGGCGGACGGGUGAGUAACACGUGGAUAACCUAACUAUACGACUGGGAUAACUUCGGGAAACCGGGGCUAAUACCGUAUAACAUGUUGAACCUCAUGGUUCAACAGUGGAAGACGGUCUUGCUGUCACUUAUAGCUUGAUCAGCGCCGCAUUAGUUAGUUGGUAAGGUAACGGCUUACCAAGGCAACGAUGCGUAACCGACCUGAGCGGGUGAACGGCCACACUGGCUCUGAGACUCGGUCCACACUCCUACGGGAGGCAGCAGCACGGAAUCUUCCGCAAUGGGCGAAUGCCUGACGGAGCACCGCCGCGUGAGUGAAGAUGCUCUUCGGAUCGUAAAACUCUGUUAUUCGGGAAGAACAAAUGUGUCAGUAACUACGCACGUCUUGACGGUACCUAAUCAGAAAGCCACGGCUAACUCCGUG
rnacentral:rRNA from 1 species